GAUGAAGAACGCAACGAAACGCGAAAGGUAAUGCGAAUUGCAGAAUCAGUGAGUCAUCGAAUCUUUGAACGCACAUUGCGCCCCUUGGUAUUCCGGGGGGCACGCCUGUUCGAGCGCCAUUACACACCCCAAGCUAAGCUUGAUGUUGGGCGAUGUCUGUCACAGGACACGCCUGGAACGUAUGGGCGCCGCCGCCGGAUCACGAGUGUAGCAAGACGCAAGUCAUCGCUCGGUCGGUCCUGGCGGUUGGCCGCCGCGGCUCAUGGUAACACAUGGGCCAGUAACUUUUCACAAGUUUGGCCUCGAAUCAGGCGGGGAUACCCGCUGAACUUAAGCAUAUCAAUAAGCGGAGGA
rnacentral:misc_RNA from 1 species